rnacentral:rRNA from 1 species
AGGGCAACAGCCCAGAUCGUCAGCUAAGGUCCCUAAAUGUAAGUUAAGUGGUAAAGGAUGUGGGAUUGCACAGACAACCAGGAUGUUGGCUUAGAAGCAGCCACUCAUUCAAAGAGUGCGUAAUAGCCCACUGGUCGAGUGAUCCUGCGCCGAAGAUUUCCGGGGCUAAAACUUACUACCGAAGCUACGGCAUCAUUAUGAUGGGUAGGGGAGCUUCCCAUACGGGUUGAAGCAUGACCGUAAGGACAUGUGGAC